rnacentral:rRNA from 1 species
ACUCCUACGGGAGGCAGCAGUGGGGAAUCUUGGACAAUGGGCGCAAGCCUGAUCCAGCCAUGCCGCGUGAGUGAUGAAGGCCCUAGGGUCGUAAAGCUCUUUCGUCCAGGGAUGAUAAUGACAGUACCUGGUAAAGAAACCCCGGCUAACUCCGUGCCAGCAGCCGCGGUAAUACGGAGGGGGUUAGGCGUUGUUCGGAAUUACUGGGGCGUAAAGCGCGCGUAGGCGGAUUAGUCAGUUAGAGGUGAAAUCCCGGGGCUCAACCCGGAACUGCCUUUAAUACUGCUAGUCUUGAGUUCGAGAGAGGUGAGUGGAAUUCCGAGUGUAGAGGUGAAAUUCGUAGAUAUUCGGAGGAACACCAGUGGCGAAGGCGGCUCACUGGCUCGAUACUGACGCUGAGGUGCGAAAGUGUGGGGAGCAAACAGGAUUAGAUACCCUGGUAGGAUAGCG